AUGAACGCUAGCUACAGGCUUAACACAUGCAAGUCGAGGGGCAGCAUGGUCUUAGCUUGCUAAGACUGAUGGCGACCGGCGCACGGGUGAGUAACACGUAUCCAACCUGCCGUCUACUCUUGGACAGCCUUCUGAAAGGAAGAUUAAUACAAGAUGGCAUCAUGAGUCCGCAUGUUCACAUGAUUAAAGGUAUUCCGGUAGACGAUGGGGAUGCGUUCCAUUAGAUAGUAGGCGGGGUAACGGCCCACCUAGUCUUCGAUGGAUAGGGGUUCUGAGAGGAAGGUCCCCCACAUUGGAACUGAGACACGGUCCAAACUCCUACGGGAGGCAGCAGUGAGGAAUAUUGGUCAAUGGGCGAGAGCCUGAACCAGCCAAGUAGCGUGAAGGAUGACUGCCCUAUGGGUUGUAAACUUCUUUUAUAAAGGAAUAAAGUCGGGUAUGGAUACCCGUUUGCAUGUACUUUAUGAAUAAGGAUCGGCUAACUCCGUGCCAGCAGCCGCGGUAAUACGGAGGAUCCGAGCGUUAUCCGGAUUUAUUGGGUUUAAAGGGAGCGUAGAUGGAUGUUUAAGUCAGUUGUGAAAGUUUGCGGCUCAACCGUAAAAUUGCAGUUGAUACUGGAUAUCUUGAGUGCAGUUGAGGCAGGCGGAAUUCGUGGUGUAGCGGUGAAAUGCUUAGAUAUCACGAAGAACUCCGAUUGCGAAGGCAGCCUGCUAAGCUGCAACUGACAUUGAGGCUCGAAAGUGUGGGUAUCAAACAGGAUUAGAUACCCUGGUAGUCCACACGGUAAACGAUGAAUACUCGCUGUUUGCGAUAUACUGCAAGCGGCCAAGCGAAAGCGUUAAGUAUUCCACCUGGGGAGUACGCCGGCAACGGUGAAACUCAAAGGAAUUGACGGGGGCCCGCACAAGCGGAGGAACAUGUGGUUUAAUUCGAUGAUACGCGAGGAACCUUACCCGGGCUUAGAUUGCAGAUGAAUUACGGUGAAAGCCGUAAGCCGCAAGGCAUCUGUGAAGGUGCUGCAUGGUUGUCGUCAGCUCGUGCCGUGAGGUGUCGGCUUAAGUGCCAUAACGAGCGCAACCCUUGUUGUCAGUUACUAACAGGUUCCGCUGAGGACUCUGACAAGACUGCCAUCGUAAGAUGUGAGGAAGGUGGGGAUGACGUCAAAUCAGCACGGCCCUUACGUCCGGGGCUACACACGUGUUACAAUGGGGGGUACAGAGGGCCGCUACCACGCGAGUGGAUGCCAAUCCCCAAAACCUCUCUCAGUUCGGACUGGAGUCUGCAACCCGACUCCACGAAGCUGGAUUCGCUAGUAAUCGCGCAUCAGCCACGGCGCGGUGAAUACGUUCCCGGGCCUUGUACACACCGCCCGUCAAGCCAUGGGAGCCGGGGGUACCUGAAGUGCGUAACCGCGAGGAGCGCCCUAGGGUAAAACUGGUGACUGGGGCU
rnacentral:rRNA from 1 species